CACGUGAUCUACAAAGGUGGUGGGUGUAUAUAUAAAAAAAUGGGGUGCAGAAAGAAACGGCAAUAUAUUAAAAAUACAGGUAAGGUCAGAGAAAUUAAAUAGGGUAUUGCACAAAUUGAUUUUCAUUUCGUAAAAAAGAGCGAAUCAGAAGAAGAAGAGAAAGAUGAUCUAUCGGAAGUGGAGUCUCCUUACAGGUCCGGUGACUAUCCUCGCUGGUGUAGUGGCUACCGUCGCAGCUGCUAACUUCAUCUUGGUCAAGAAUGAUCCGUUCACUAAACCAGUAAAGAACAAGUUUGGAAAUCUACCUGCAACCAAGUAAUAGAAAAGAUGUAACAGUCAGUGGUUUGUAUUUUGAAGUAAUUUAAACAUUGAUUUAGGAGCCGUGUAUGCUGUUUUGCAAGACAUGUUCUCUUUAGUUAAUAAUAAAUUCUAAGGUGUCGAAAGAAAUCCGGCCUCUGGAGCAUGAACCUUAGUUUAGAACUAAUUUACAAAAGUUCUAGAGAAUUGGUUCACAUAUUAGAGACCCAUACUUGUGUUUUCUGUACAAUGUUGAAUGGAAAUGUGUAAUAAUUUGUCACUUCAUUUCUCUUAUCCUUAUCAAUUUUCUCUUAUA